GGGACCAAUGAUAAUGACUGUUGGGGUAUGAGUCAGUGAGGUUGAAUAACAGUUUGUAUCUGGAAAUCUGAGGUCCAA
rnacentral:snoRNA from 10 species